UACGAGGGGGGCAAGCGUUGUUCGGAAUUAUUGGGCGUAAAGGGCGCGUAGGCGGUGCGGUAAGUCACCUGUGAAAUCUCUGGGCUCAACUCAGAGUCUGCAGGCGAAACUGCCGUGCUGGAGUAUGGGAGAGGUGCGUGGAAUUCCCGGUGUAGCGGUGAAAUGCGUAGAUAUCAGGAAGAACACCCGUGGCGAAGGCGGCUCUCUGGGACGGUACUGACGCUGAGACGCGAAAGCGUGGGGAGCGAACAGG
rnacentral:rRNA from 1 species